CAGCCGCCACGGGAAUACGUAGGGGGCGAGCGCUGUCCGAAGUUACUGGGCGUAAAGCGCGCGUAGGCGGCUUCUUAAGUCUGAGGUGAAAGGUUCAACGCUUAACGUGAACAGUGCCUUGGAUACUGGGGAGCUUGAGUAUGGGAGAGGGCAGUGGAAUGGCUGGUGCAGCGGUGAAAUGCGUAGAUAUCAGUCGGAACACCCAUGGCGAAGGCAGCUGCCUGGCCUAAUACUGACGCUGAGGUGCGAAAGCGUGGGGAGCGAACGGGAUUAGAUACCCCGGUAGUCCCUGUCUCUUAUA
rnacentral:rRNA from 1 species